rnacentral:rRNA from 1 species
AUGAAUGCUGGCGGCGUGGAUAAGGCAUGCAAGUCAAGGGGGCCGCAAGGCAACCGGCAGACGAGGUAGUAACACGUAGGUAGAUACCCCGGAGUCAGGCAAUAGCCAGUCGAAAGACUGGGUAAUUCCUGAUGGUCUCGAAAGAGUAAAGGUUUUUCGCUCCGGGAGUCGCCUGCGCAAUAUCAGCUAGUUGGUGAGGUAAUGGCUUACCAAGGCUACGACGUUUAGGGGAGCUGAGAGGCUGACCCCCACCGAUGGGACUGAGAUACGGCCCAUACUCCUACGGGAGGCCGCAGUCGAGAAUCUUCCACAAUGGACGAAAGUCUGAUGGAGCGACGCCGCGUGCUGGACGAAGUGCCUAGGUACGUAAACAGCUUUUAUGGGGGACGAAAUUAUUGACGGUACCUCAUGAAUAAGGGGCUCCUAACUCUGUGCCAGCAGGAGCGGUAAUACAGAGGCCCCGAGCAUUAUCCGGAAUCACUGGGCGUAAAGGGUGUCGAGGCGGUCGUAUUAGUCGUUCGUAAAAUCCGCGAGCUUAACUUGCGGUCCGCGAGCGAAACGGUACGACUAGAGGGUGGGAGAGGUGCGUGGAACUCUAGGUGUAGGGGUGAAAUCCGUUGAUAUCUAGGGGAACACCAAAGGCGAAGGCAGCGCAACUGGCCCAUUCCUGACGCUCACACACGAAAGCUAGGGUAGCGAACGGGAUUAGAUACCCCGGUAGUCCUAGCCCUAAACGCUGCUCGCUCGUUCUGCGGAGUAUCGACCCUCUGCGGGACUAAGCUAACGCGGUAAGCGAGCCGCCUGGGUAGUACGAGCGCAAGCUUAAAACUCAAAGGAAUAGACGGGGACUCGCACAAGCGGUGGAUUAUGUGGCUUAAUUCGUCGGUAAACGAAGAACCUUACCAAGGUUAGAAAUCCAACUGCAUCUCUAUCGAAAGACUGAGAGCCUUCGAGGGUGUUGGACAGGUGAUGCAUGGUCGUCGUCAGUUCGUGGUUUGAACUGUUCCCUUCAGUGGGGUAACGAACGCAACCCCCGUUGCCUGUUAUAUUCUCAGGCGAGACUGCUCCCUCACGGGAGAGGAAGGUGGGGAUGACGCCAGAUCAGCAUGUCCCUCUGAUACCUUGGGCUGCACACAUAAUACAAUGGUCGGUACAAAAGGAUGCGAUACCGUAAGGUGGAGCAAAUCCCGAAAACCGUCCUCAGUACGGAUUGAGGUCUGCAACCGACCUCAUGAAGCUGGAAUCGCUAGUAAUGGUAGGUCAGCUAAACUACCGUGAAUACGUUCUCGAGUCUUGUACUCACCGCCCGUCAACUCAAGGGAGCUGGGGGUGCCCAAAAUAUUGCUUCAUGCAGUACUACGGCAAAUUCAGUAACAGGGAGU